GACGAAAUUUGGGACGAAUCCACAAUUCGUCCCAGAUUCUGGGACGAAUCCACAAUUCGUCCCAGAUUUUGGGACGAAUUUUGUGGAUUCGUCCCAAAAU